CACGUAGGGGACGAGCGUUGUCCGGAUUCAUUGGGCGUAAAGAGCUCGUAGGCGGUCUGUCGCGUCGAUCGUGAAAACUUGGGGCUUAACCCUGAGCUUGCGGUCGAUACGGGCAUGACUGGAGUUCGGCAGGGGAGACUGGAAUUCCUGGUGUAGCGGUGAAAUGCGCAGAUAUCAGGAGGAACACCGGUGGCGAAGGCGGGUCUCUGGGCCGAUACUGACGCUGAGGAGCGAAAGCGUGGGGAGCAAACAGG
rnacentral:rRNA from 1 species